CUUACACAUUGCAAGUCGAACGGUAACGCGGGGCAACCUGGCGACGAGUGGCGAACGGGUGAGUAAUAUAUCGGAACGUGCCCAGUAGUGGGGGAUAGCCCGGCGAAAGCCGGAUUAAUACCGCAUACGACCUAAGGGUGAAAGCGGGGGAUCGCAAGACCUCGCGCUAUUGGAGCGGCCGAUAUCAGAUUAGGUAGUUGGUGGGGUAAAAGCCUACCAAGCCAACGAUCUGUAGCUGGUCUGAGAGGACGACCAGCCACACUGGGACUGAGACACGGCCCAGACUCCUACGGGAGGCAGCAGUGGGGAAUUUUGGACAAUGGGCGCAAGCCUGACCCAGCCAUGCCGCGUGCGGGAAGAAGGCCUUCGGGUUGUAAACCGCUUUUGUCAGGGAAGAAACGCUUUGGGAUAAUACCCUGAGGUAAUGACGGUACCUGAAGAAUAAGCACCGGCUAACUACGUGCCAGCAGCCGCGGUAAUACGUAGGGUGCAAGCGUUAAUCGGAAUUACUGGGCGUAAAGCGUGCGCAGGCGGUCUUGCAAGACAGAUGUG
rnacentral:rRNA from 1 species